rnacentral:rRNA from 1 species
GACGAACGCUGGCGGCGUGCUUAACACAUGCAAGUCGAACGGAAAGGCCCGGCUUUUGUGCGGUGCUCGAGUGGCGAACGGGGGAGUAACACGUGAGUAACCUGUCCCUGACUGUGGGAUAUCUUCAGGAAACUGGGGCUAUUACCGCAUAGGAUCUCUCGCUGCAUGGUGGGCGUUGGUAAGUUUCGGCGGUUGGGGAUGGACUCGCGGCUCAUCAGCUUGUUGGUGGGGUAGUGGCUUACCAAGGUUUUGAGGGGUAGCCGGCCUGAGAGGUGAACCGGCGACAUUAGGCCUGAGAUACGGCCCAGACUACAAUGGGACGCAGCAGUGGAGAGUAUUACACAGUAGGCGGAAGCCAGAUGUAGCAACGCCGCGUGCGGGAUGACGUGAUUCGGGUUGUGAACCAAUGUCGCCUUAGACGAGGCGUGAGUGACGGUAACGGGUAAAGAAGCACCGGCUAACUACGUG